rnacentral:rRNA from 1 species
AACUUUUGACAACGGAUCUCUUGGUUCUCCCAUCGAUGAAGAACGCAGCGAAAUGCGAUAAGUAAUGUGAAUUGCAGAAUUCAGUGAAUCAUCGAAUCUUUGAACGCACCUUGCGCUCGUUGGUAUUCCGACGAGCAUGCCUGUUUGAGUGUCAU